GGCAAGGUUUGAGGAAAGACAGCAGCAACAGUUCAUGCCCAGUAUAACGGUGUAAAGCAGGUCCAUAUCUGAAAAGAAUUUUCAUGGCAAUAAGAUGUACAUAGAUGCACUGAGUAACCAGUAGUCCUGUGACUCACUUUUCCGUUUCUGAAGUACUUCCUUACUUAUGUUUCUACAUGGUUGUGGAGAUGUUAAUAGCAAUGGAGGUUGAGAACUGCUUGAAUAUUAGAAAAUGAGACUUCUCUGUGUACCACUGAUGUAUUUCUAAUGCCAAAGUUGCUGCUACUUAGGAAUCCUUUCUUGUCUCAUAUCUCUUGCAGGUUGGCUCUUCACAGAAGCCAGUACUUGCCAUUGGUUAAAGUUGCUGUGACACAGUGUAAAACAGCCAGACACCAAGACAGAAUGAAGUUGUGAAAUCCACCUGAAAGGCUGAGACCCUGGGGACCUUGCACCGUGGCAAUAUUGGCAUGCAGAGACAGGACAGACCUCCUUCUUAUAUCCUCCUCAAUAUGGGAC
ensembl:lncRNA